GAUGAACGCUGGCGGCGUGCCUAAUACAUGCAAGUUGAGCGAACAGAUAAGGAGCUUGCUCCUUUGACGUUAGCGGCGGACGGGUGAGUAACACGUGGAUAACCUACCUAUAAGACUGGGAUAACUUCGGGAAACCGGAGCUAAUACCGGAUAACAUAUUGAACCGCAUGGUUCAAUAGUGAAAGGCGGCUUUGCUGUCACUUAUAGAUGGAUCCGCGCCGUAUUAGCUAGUUGGUAAGGUAACGGCUUACCAAGGCAACGAUACGUAGCCGACCUGAGAGGGUGAUCGGCCACACUGGAACUGAGACACGGUCCAGACUCCUACGGGAGGCAGCAGUAGGGAAUCUUCCGCAAUGGGCGAAAGCCUGACGGAGCAACGCCGCGUGAGUGAUGAAGGUCUUCGGAUCGUAAAACUCUGUUAUCAGGGAAGAACAAAUGUGUAAGUAACUGUGCACAUCUUGACGGUACCUGAUCAGAAAGCCACGGCUAACUACGUG
rnacentral:rRNA from 1 species